rnacentral:misc_RNA from 1 species
GAUGAAGAAGCAGCAAAAUGCGAUAAGUAAUGUGAAUUGCAGAAUUCAGUGAAUCAUCGAAUCUUUGAACGCACAUUGCGCCCGCUGGUAUUCCGGCGGGCAUGCCUGUUCGAGCGUCAUUUCAACCCUCAAGCCCCCGGGUUUGGUGUUGGGGAUCGGCUCUGCCCUUCUGGGCGGUGCCGCCCCCGAAAUACAUUGGCGGUCUCGCUGCAGCCUCCAUUGCGUAGUAGCUAACACCUCGCAACUGGAACGCGGCGCGGCCAUGCCGUAAAACCCCAACUUCUGAAUGUUGACCUCGGAUCAGGUAGGAAUACCCGCUGAACUUAAGCAUAUCAAUAAGCGGAGGA